rnacentral:rRNA from 1 species
CUCAGAACGAACGCUGGCGGCAGGCUUCAUACAUGCAAGUCGUACGAUUAAAGCUCCUUCGGGAGUAUAUAAAGUGGCGAACGGGUGAGUAACAGGUGGAUAACCUACCUCUCGGCGGGGGACAACAGUUGGAAACGACUGCUAAUACCGCAUACGUCAGGCUAUAGGUCCAGAUGAGGAAAGGCGCUUUCAAGCGUCGCCGAGAGAUGGAUCCGCCCCGCAUUAGCUAGUUGGUGAGAUAAUAGCUCACCAAGGCUACGAUGCGUAGCCGGACUGAGAGGUUGGCCGGCCACACUGGGACUGAGACACGGCCCAGACACCUACGGGUGGCAGCAGUAGGGAAUAUUGGACAAUGGGCGCAAGCCUGAUCCAGCCAUGCCGCGUGGAUGACGAAGGCCUUCGGGUCGUAAAGUCCUUUUAUAAGGGAAGAACAUCCCGGGUAGGAAAUGACCCGGGCCCGACGGUACCUUAUGAAUAAGCAUCGGCUAACUACGUGCCAGCAGCCGCGGUCAUACGUAGGUUGCAAGCGUUGUUCGGAAUUACUGGGCGUAAAGGGGGCGCAGGCGGCUUGGUCAGUCUGGAGUGAAAGCCCGGGGCUCAACCCCGGAAGUGCUUCAGAUACUGCCUUGCUUGAGUACGUGAGAGGAGAGCGGAAUUCCAGGUGUAGCGGUGAAAUGCGUAGAUAUCUGGAGGAACACCAGUGGCGAAAGCGGCUCUCUGGCGCGAUACUGACGCUGAGGCUCGAAAGCGUGGGGAGCGAACGGGAUUAGAUACCCCGGUAGUCCACGCCGUAAACGUUGUGCACUAGGUGUGGGAGGUGUCGACCCCUUCCGUGCCGCAGCUAACGCAUUAAGUGCACCGCCUGGGGAGUACGGUCGCAAGACUGAAACUCAAAGGAAUUGACGGGGGCCCGCACAAGCGGUGGAGCAUGUGGUUUAAUUCGAGGCCACGCGAAGAACCUUACCCAGGCUUGACAAUCCCGUGACAUCCAUGGAAACAUGGCUUUCUCUUCGGAGACACGGUGACAGGUGUUGCAUGGCUGUCGUCAGCUCGUGUCGUGAGGUGUUGGGUUAAGUCCCGCAACGAGCGCAACCCCUAUCAUUAGUUGCCAUCAGUUCGGCUGGGCACUCUAAGGGGACUGCCGGCGUUAAGCCGGAGGAAGGUGGGGACGACGUCAAGUCAUCAUGGCCCUUAUGUCCAGGGCUACACACGUGCUACAAUGGGCGGGACAAAGGGUUGCGAACCCGUUAGGGGAAGCCAAUCCCAAAAAGCCGUUCUCAGUUCGGAUUGGAGUCUGCAACUCGGCUCCAUGAAGGCGGAAUCGCUAGUAAUCGCGGAUCAGCAUGCCGCGGUGAAUACGUUCCCGGGCCUUGUACCACACCGCCCGUCAUAUCACCCGAGUCGGGAUACCCGAAGUCCGUGACCCAACCAUUUGGAGGGAGCGGCCGAAG